CUCCCCCUCCCCCCUUCCCUCUCUCCCUCCCUCUCUCGUCUCCCUUCCUCUACAUGGGGAGGAGCUCACUCCCUGCCAACAGCCAGGGGAACAAGCUUGGAAGUGGAUUUUCCAGCCCAGCACGCAGCCUCGUGGAAGACCACCCAGGUAUCAGAGUCGCUGAGAAGAGUCAUGCUGUGAUGUGAGGUCACAGAACAAGGUAGGGUGGGAGCCUGGAGCUCAGUAAGCUCUCUGCAAUUUAUGUUUGCCUCCACCCCGACCCCCACCAAGCUUGAGCCUCCUCUCCCCCAUCCCCAUAUGGGAGGGGGAGCUAGGAAGCACCACCACCUCUGCUUGAGUAAAAUCUCUUCCAACAGCAGAACGAUCCCUUGACCCGACUUAACAUGAAAUAGUUCCAAAUCUCUUUUCAACUGGUAGAGAUCUUCCUUCCCUGUCCCAACCUCCAAAUGACUUCUGCAGCUGUAAGCAGUUCAGAGGAGCUAUGCAUUGGACUCCCAAUCCCAUCUACAGAGGCUCUCCCCUGGCACCUGCGGGGAGAAAAGCUGAAGUACAAAGGGCACUGGCUGAGCCUCUUACACCAGGUGAGGCCCUCGUUAUUGGUAGAUACUGAGUUCCAGGAUUCAGUAACUAGCCAACUCCAUGACUGCUGCGCUCUUUACACAAAGUAAAACUAUCUCAUAUCACACGUCCACCUGAGGGCUGGGGGGAAACUAAGGCAGGCCCCUGCUGAUUCAGGUGGUUAUUUUAUGCCAAAUAUUUACCCAAGAUGUCAAGUCAUCUAGUUUUUCCUAAAUAAUGGAAAAAGCCGUCUCAGGACUUCCCUCCCAGCCUGCUUAUGAUGUUGCUUCAGUUAUCUCCAACACCCAAACCCACUAGGCUGCCUUGUUCUUGCACUUUCGAUUUGGAAGAAAUCGAACUGCUCAGUUUAUUGUUAAGCCGUUUUCUCACCAGCCCACGAAGCCAAGCUGAGCAGCACCCACCGCCCCCACCCCCAAGACUACCCAAUACUUCCAGGUUGGUCUGUCUUUCCCAGCCCACUUGCUACUUCCCCAAACAGGAGCCAUUCAUUGGUUACGGCAGCACUUUUAUUUUUCCUUACACAAUGACGUGUUGCUGGGGCCUAAUGUUCUCACAUAACAGUAGAAAACCAAAAUUUGUUGUCAUCUCUUCAAAGAAUCGAGAAUUGCGUACAAAAAAAACCUUACAUAAAUUAAGAAUGAAUACAUUUACAGGCGUAAAUGCAAACCGCUUCCAACUCAAAGCAAGUAACAGCCCACGGUGUUCUGGCCAAAGACAUCAGCUAAGAAAGGAAACUGGGUCCUACGGCUUGGACUUUCCAACCC
rnacentral:lncRNA from 1 species